rnacentral:rRNA from 1 species
CCCUCGCGCCAUCAGUAUGAGUGCCAGCCGCCGCGGUAAUACAUAGGUGGCAAGCGUUAUCCGGAUUUAUUGGGCGUAAAGCGUGCGUAGACGGUUGUGCAAGUCUGAGGUUAAAUUUAGGGGCUCAACCCUAACCGCCUUGGAAACUACAUUACUAGAGUAUAGGAGAGGUUAGUGGAAUUUUCAUGUGUAGCGGUGGAAUGCGUAGAUAUAUGAAGGAACACCAGUGGCGAAGGCGGCUAACUGGCCUAUUACUGACGUUGUGGCACGAAAGCGUGGGAGCAAAUAGGAUUAGAUACCCUAGUAGUCCACGCCGUAAACGAUGAGUACUAAGUGUUGCCAUGAGGCAGUGCUGUAGUUAACACAUUAAGUACUCCGCCUGAGUAGUAUGCUCGCAAGAGUG